rnacentral:rRNA from 1 species
AGCGAACGCUGGCGGCAGGCUUAACACAUGCAAGUCGAGCGGGCAUCCUUGUGGUGUCAGCGGCAGACGGGUGAGUAACGCGUGGGAACGUGCCCUUCGGUUCGGAAUAACUCAGGGAAACUUGAGCUAAUACCGGAUACGCCCUUUUGGGGAAAGGUUUACUGCCGAAGGAUCGGCCCGCGUCUGAUUAGCUAGUUGGUGAGGUUAUGGCUCACCAAGGCGACGAUCAGUAGCUGGUAUGAGAGGAUGAUCAGCCACACUGGGACUGAGACACGGCCCAGACUACUACGGGAGGCAGCAGUGGGGAAUAUUGGACAAUGGGGUCAACCCUGAUCCAGCCAUGCCGCGUGAGUGAUGACGGCCUUAGGGUUGUAAAGCUCUUUUCUCCGGGACGAUAAUGACGGUACCGGAGGAAUAAGCCCCGGCUAACUUCGUG